rnacentral:rRNA from 1 species
UACGUAGGGAGCAAGCGUUGUCCGGAAUCAUUGGGCGUAAAGAGCGUGUAGGCGGCUUGGUAAGUCCGCUGUGAAAGUCCAGGGCUCAACCCUGGAAUGCCAGUGGAAACUGUCAAGCUAGAGUCCGGAAGAGGCGAGUGGAAUUCCUGGUGUAGCGGUGAAAUGCGCAGAUAUCAGGAGGAACACCAAUGGCGAAGGCAGCUCGCUGGGACGGUACUGACGCUGAGACGCGAAAGCGUGGGGAGCAAACAGG